rnacentral:rRNA from 1 species
AACGAACGCUGGCGGCAGGCUUAACACAUGCAAGUCGAACGCAUCCUUCGGGGUGAGUGGCAGACGGGUGAGUAACGCGUGGGAACGUGCCCUUCAGUUCGGGAUAACCCAGGGAAACUUGGGCUAAUACCGGAUACGUGCGAGAGCAGAAAGAUUUAUCGCUGAAGGAUCGGCCCGCGUCUGAUUAGCUAGUUGGUGGGGUAAUGGCCCACCAAGGCGACGAUCAGUAGCUGGUCUGAGAGGAUGAUCAGCCACAUUGGGACUGAGACACGGCCCAACCCCCUCCGGGGGGCAGCAGGGGGGAAUAUGGGACAAUGGGCGCAAGCCUGAUCCACCCAUGCCGCGUGGGGGAUGAAGGCCUUAGGGUUGUAAAGCUCUUUCGUCCGGGACGAUAGUGACGGUCCCGGAAGAAGAAGCCCCGGCUAACUUCGUCCCACCCGCCGCGGAAA